CGGAGGGAGAGGUGCUUGCACCUCAAACUUAGCGGCGGACGGGUGAGGAACGCGUGGGUAACCUGCCCUAUACAGGGGGAUAGCAGUUGGAAACGAUUGGUAAAACCGCAUAAGCGCACGGUAUCGCAUGAUACAGUGUGAAAACACUCCGGUGGUAUGAGAUGGACUCGCGUCUGAUUAGCUAGUUGGUGAGGUAACGGCCCACCAAGGCGACGAUCAGUAGCCGACCUGAGAGGGUGACCGGCCACAUUGGGACUGAGACACGGCCCAAACUCC
rnacentral:rRNA from 1 species